rnacentral:rRNA from 1 species
CCUACGGGCGGCAGCAGUGGGGAAUAUUGGACAAUGGGGGCAACCCUGAUCCAGCCAUGCCGCGUGUGUGAAGAAGGCCCUCGGGUUGUAAAGCACUUUCAGUGAGGAAGAACGCCUGGUGGUUAAUACCCAUCAGGAAAGACAUCACUCACAGAAGAAGCACCGGCUAACUCCGUGCCAGCAGCCGCGGUAAUACGGAGGGUGCGAGCGUUAAUCGGAAUUACUGGGCGUAAAGCGCGCGUAGGUGGCUUGAUAAGCCGGUUGUGAAAGCCCCGGGCUCAACCUGGGAACGGCAUCCGGAACUGUCAAGCUAGAGUGCAGGAGAGGAAGGUAGAAUUCCCGGUGUAGCGGUGAAAUGCGUAGAGAUCGGGAGGAAUACCAGUGGCGAAGGCGGCCUUCUGGACUGAAACUGACACUGAGGUGCGAAAGCGUGGGUAGCAAACAGGAUUAGAUACCCCAGUAGUC